UGCUUGCUUUAACAGCACAUAUGCUAAAAUUGGGAUGAUA
rnacentral:snRNA from 1 species